AAGGAUCAUUAACAAGUUGGGCGAAAGCCCCCUCUGUUUGUCCUCACACCUCUGCGUACCCAACCACGUUGCUUCCGAGGGACAGCCCUCCGGGGCCCGCCUCUCUCUGGCGGAGUCGCCCUCGGGAGGUAUACCAAACUCAUGUUGUUUUGAUUUCUGUCUGAAUGUGAAACUAUAACAGUUAAAACUUUCAACAACGGAUCUCUUGGUUCUC
rnacentral:misc_RNA from 1 species